GAUGAAGAACGUAGCGAAAUGCGAUACGUAAUGUGAAUUGCAGAUUUCAGUGAAUCAUCGAAUCUUUGAACGCACAUUGUGCCCGCUAGUAUUCUGGCGGGCAUGCCUGUUCGAGCGUCAUUUCAACCAUCAAGCCCCCGGCUUGCGUUGGAGCCCUGCGGCUGCCGCAGGCUCCCAAAUCUAGUGGCGGGCUCGUCGUCGUACCGAGUGCAGUAAACAUCCUCGCUCAGGGAACGCGUCGGGUUCUUGCCGUGAAACCCCCCCAUAUCAAGGUUGACCUCGGAUCAGGUAGGAAUACCCGCUGAACUUAAGCAUAUCAAUAAGCGGAGGA
rnacentral:misc_RNA from 1 species